UAGUCUGGGGAUACCACUUGGGAAACAGGUGCUAAUACCGGAUAAGAAAGCAGAUCGCAUGAUCAGCUUUUAAAAGGCGGCGUAAAGCUGUCGCUAUGGGGAUGGCCCCCGCGGUGCAUUUAGCUAGUUGGUAAGGUAAAGGCUUACCAAGGCGAUGAUGCAUAGCCGAGUUGAGAGACUGAUCGGCCACAUUGGGACUGAGACACGGCCCAAACUCCUACGGGAGGCAGCAGUAGGGAAUCUUCCACAAUGGACGCAAGUCUGAUGGAGCAACGCCGCGUGAGUGAAGAAGGUUUUCGGUAUCGUAAAAGCUCUGUUGUUGGUGAAGAAGGAAUAGAGGUAGUAACUGGCCUUUAUUUGACGGUAAUCAACCAGAAAGUCACGGCUAACUACGUGCCAGCAGCCGCGGUAAU
rnacentral:rRNA from 1 species